AGCAGUCGCCGCGGUAAUACAGAGGGUGCAAGCGUUAAUCGGAAUUACUUGGCGUAAAGCGUGCGUAGGCGGCUUCUUAAGUCGGAUGUGAAAUCCCUGAGCUUAACUUAGGAAUUGCAUUCGAUACUGGGAAGCUAGAGUAUGGGAGAGGAUGGUAGAAUUUCAGGUGUAGCGGUGAAAUGCGUAGAGAUCUGGAGGAAUACCGAUGGCGAAGGCAGCCAUCUGGCCUAAUACUGACGCUGAGGUACGAAAGCAUGGGGAGCAAACAGGAUUAGAUACCCGCGUAGUCCCUGUCUCUUAUAC
rnacentral:rRNA from 1 species